rnacentral:rRNA from 1 species
AGAGUUUGAUCCUGGCUCAGGACGAACGCUGGCGGCGUGCUUAAUACAUGCAAGUCGAGCGGUAAUGCUCCUUCGGGAACAUUACAGCGGCGGACGGGUGAGUAACGCGUGGGCAAUCUGCCCUCUAGCCUGGGAUAACAGUUCGAAAGGACUGCUAACACCGGAUAUGCUCACAGCCUGGCAUCAGGCGGUGAGGAAAG